UCUGGUUGAUCCCGGCAGAGGUUACUGCUAUCGGUGUUCGCCUAAGCCAUGCGAGUCAUAUGUAGCAAUACAUGGCGUACUGCUCAGUAACACGUGGAUAACCUGCCCUUGGGACCGGCAUAACCCCGGGAAACUGGGGAUAAUUCCGGAUAACGCAUAUUUGCUGGAAUGCUUUAUGCGUCAAAAGGAUUCGUCUGCCCAAGGAUGGGUCUGCGGCCUAUCAGGUAGUAGUGGGUGUAAUGUACCUACUAGCCAGCGACGGGUACGGGUUGUGAGAGCAAGAGCCCGGAGAUGGAUUCUGAGACAUGAAUCCAGGCCCUACGGGGCGCAGCAGGCGCGAAAACUUUACAAUGCGGGAAACCGUGAUAAGGGGACACCGAGUGCCAGCAUCAUAUGCUGGCUGUCCGGAUGUGUAAAAUACAUCCGUUAGCAAGGGCCGGGCAAGACCGGUGCCAGCCGCCGCGGUAACACCGGCGGCCCGAGUGGUGAUCGUGAUUAUUGGGUCUAAAGGGUCCGUAGCCGGUUUGGUCAGUCCUCCGGGAAAUCUGAUAGCUCAACUAUUAGGCUUUCGGGGGAUACUGCCAGACUUGGAACCGGGAGAGGUAAGAGGUACUACAGGGGUAGGAGUGAAAUCUUGUAAUCCCUGUGGGACCACCUGUGGCGAAGGCGUCUUACCAGAACGGGUUCGACGGUGAGGGACGAAAGCUGGGGGCACGAACCGGAUUAGAUACCCGGGUAGUCCCAGCCGUAAACGAUGCUCGCUAGGUGUCAGGCAUGGCGCGACCGUGUCUGGUGCCGUAGGGAAGCCGUGAAGCGAGCCACCUGGGAAGUACGGCCGCAAGGCUGAAACUUAAAGGAAUUGGCGGGGGAGCACAACAACGGGUGGAGCCUGCGGUUUAAUUGGACUCAACGCCGGACAACUCACCGGGGGC
rnacentral:rRNA from 1 species